UACGGAAGGCAGCAGUGGGGAAUAUUGCACAAUGGGCGAAAGCCUGAUGCAGCUAUGCCGCGUGUAUGAAGAAGGCCUUAGGGUUGUAAAGUACUUUCAUCGGGGAGGAAAAACAAAACUAAUAAUUUUAUUUCUUGACGUUACCCGAAAAAGAAGCACCGGCUAACUCCGUGCCAGCAGCCGCGGUAAUACGGAGGGUGCUAGCGUUAAUCAGAAUUACUGGGCGUAAAGAGCACGUAGGUGGUUUUUUUAAAGUCAGAUGUGAAAUCCCUGGGCUUAACCUGGAACUGCAUUUUGAAACUGAAAUACUAGAGUAUCGUAGAGGGAGGUAGAAUUCUAGGUGUAGCGGUGAAAUGCGUAGAUAUCUGGAGGAAUACCUGUGGCGAAAGCGGCCUCCUAAACGAAUACUGACACUGAGUGCGAAAGCGUGGGGAGCAAACAGGGAUUAGGAUA
rnacentral:rRNA from 1 species